AUGGAGGAAGAGAAGGCGGCGGCGUACUACGACGAGCUCAACCGCAAGGGCGAGGGCGCCCGCCGCUUCAAGCAGGGUCUCGGCUUCUCCUCCGACGAUCCCCAACCUGCCUCCUUCCCAUCCAAGCCCUCCACCACCUCCUCCUCCUCGUUCCUCUCCGGCUUCGUCCGCGCCGGCGCCACCCCCACCCCCACCAGGCCGUCUCUGCCUCCCGAGGCCCCGCCCCGCCAGCGCCGUCGCUCUCGCUCGCCCUCCCCAUCCCGUCCUCGGCCGCGGUCGAGGUCCCCGUCUCGCUCGCGCCGGCGCCGGUCAAGGUCUAGGUCCCGGUCGAGGGAGCGGAGGCGCCGGUCGAGGUCGAGGGAGAGGGGGGACCGCAGGGCGUCGCACCACCGGCCUAGGUCGAGGUCGCGCUCGCCGUUUCGCCGGAGUGGCAGGAGCUCACAUGCCGAAGGCCGGCGUGACAGGCAUGGGGAUCGGCGGCGCGACGACGGCGGCCAGAGCCGUCAUAGCUCGAAGGGGCGCGGCGGUACGGAUGGCGGUAAAGUGGACUACUCAAGGCUCAUUGAAGGAUACGAUAGGAUGACUCCUGCUGAGAGAGUCAAAGCAAAAAUGAAGCUUCAGCUUUCAGAGACAGCUUCGAAGGAUUCCACCCUCGGAACUGCCACUGUGAGUUGGGGGAGGUUUGAAUUCAACAAAGAUGCUCAACUUGAUGAAGAUGACAAUGAUGUUGAAGGGAAGAGCUUCCGACUUUCUACGGUGGAGUCAAAGAAUGAGAACAUAGUCAGAGAUGCACAUGAUGAGGCUAUGUUUGGUGUACCUAUGUCUUCGAAUGUUGAUACGGAAACAUCUGAGGAUGAGCUUAAAACCAAUGGUGAAGGCAAGAAAGCUGAAGAUGUUGAAGCUCAACCUAGCAGUUCCCUCAUUGGCGAUGAAGUUCUGGCAAUGCAAAAGAUGUCAUGGAGAGAAAGGAUGGAGAAGCUGCGGCAGAAUUCAAAUACAUGA
rnacentral:rRNA from 1 species